rnacentral:lncRNA from 1 species
GGAAAUAAAUGAACUUAUAAAGGAAAAACGGAACUUGUUCCACAAUUUUAUAAAACCUUACAAUUCAAAAACUUAAUAACAAAACAUAAACUAAAAAUACGACUUGUAUUAUAUUAUUCUCCAAGACUGUCCGAGAUCUUCAUAUACCGAGUCCAGCAAUAAAAUUCUAAAAUAUACCUGAAAGGGAAAUAGAUGGAGGUGAGCUACACAAGCUCAGUGUGAGUUCAAAACCAAUCUAACUACAGAAACAUAAAAUAGGAUGCCGGAUAGUAGUUCAAUAAAGAAAUGUACUCACAAAAACAUACAAAUCCAGAAGGUAAUCGGAAACCAACAUCUCAAAACUUAAUGACAAUUCGAGCACACUAGGUCACACUCACAAGCACACUGUCACAUUUGCUAAUCCAUCAAACAGAAAUAGUCAGAGAAUCUCACACGCAGAACACUCAAACAGAUGCAUAUGUAUGCAGUCUGAUAUUAAAAGAACUUUCCCAUCCAGCCAAACACACCUCUCCGUCCCCCGAUCACACCUUGUAAGAGUUGUUUGGGCUCAUCCAACCAAACACACCACAUAGGACCAAAUAGGCCCAUCUAACCUUACACACCAUAUAAAGUCAUCCCGGGUUGCCCGGCAACAAUGACUCGCCGUCCUGGAUUGCCCGGCAACGAUGGCUUAUCAAAAUACAGUUGAACUGCCAAAUCAAAUAUAUAUACGUAAUAUAGCCAACGUACAUGUGGUACAGUUUAAUGUGAAAAAUCGUUAUACCGAUAAUUUACAAUUAAACUGCCAGAUCAGAUAAUGGUACGUAGCAUAGCUAACGUACAUACGGUACAAUUCGAUGCGGUAAACCGCUAUACCGGUAUAUUGCAGUUUAACUGCCAGAUCAGAUAAAUAUACGCAGCAAGCCUAACGUAUGUGUUACAAUGCAGUGCGGUAAUUCGCAGUAUAGAAAAAUUACAGUUUGAACUGCCAGAUCAGAUCAGAAUCAGACUCCCUUCUCUUCAAAACCUAUCCCAAAAUAUUUUAUACAGGUGCAUGUAUGCAUACAAUCUCAUAGAAAAGAGGCACAAUAUCAGACAAUCAGUCAGAACAGCUAUGCACACAAACCCAACAGAAUAGAUUCAGAUUCAAACAUCUUACAUGACAGUCACAGAUACACUCAGGCUAAAGCCUAGAUCAGAAUUCUUAACCACCCUGACUAAAGAUCAGCCAAGGUAGACACACAGAAAAAUGCUUGUAUCAAAGACACACAGAAUCAAAAUAAGUGACUUAAAACCACACGCCUGUGUGCUCUGGAUGUAUGGGAAUGCCUAGGUCGUGUGGGAGGUCAAAAGCCCAUUGAAAAAGGGGCACACAACCGUGUGGAUCGGAGACAUGGCUGUGGGGACAGGCUGUGUAACUCUCUGUCUAUUUGCACUAAAUUUGAGUACAUGACUGACACGGCCGUGUGAAGGUCUUAACACUCGUGUGCCCUCUAGACAUGGCCAUGUGCUUGAAACACACGCCCAUGUGGAAUCCCUAAAUCCAAACACGAUCGUGUGGCACCAAAUCGCUCAAUCCCUCAUUCCCAAUCACAAACACCCCUGUGCCCGAGGGACACGGCCGUGUGAAUAUUAAGAAAAUCCCCAAAUCGGCUACAUGGCCAUAUGGCCAGCCGUGUGACGCCCAAAUCAGCUCGAAAACCCUAAUUCCCAAAAGUACACGACCGUGUGUGUAUCAAUACACGCCCGUGUAGCCAUUUGUGUGGUCACAAAACCACCUUAAAAAUAGCCUCGAAAAAUAUGCUCCUAGCAACGAAACACUUUUCAGCCCUCAGUAGUUCAAAUAUACACCAAACCGCAUAUAUUCUAAGCAUAAAACAGCAACACAACAUCGAAAACAACCGAUUUGCAAAGCCUCACACACUUGUGUCAACUUUUCGUAAAGUCAAAAAAAGAUUCACAAAUAAAAUAGAAGAAGGUUUGAAACCCAUACCUAUUUCGUGAUCGAACACGUCCUGAUGCCGAUUUGAUGACCAAAAAAUCUAAGCUCUUCGAAACCACAACACCACCGUUUCAGAAAAGAAAACGUAAAACCAAAAGAGAGAGUAAGAAGAUAACGUGAAAAAAAAAGUCAAAAUAAAAUAAAAUAAAACAAGACAAAAUAAAUAACACUAAAUAAUUAUUACUAACUAAAAACAAAAAAAAAUAAAAGGAUUCUCCCCAAAUGCACACCCAAAGAUUCAAACCCAGAACCUUGGAAUUCUUUACACACAACCAAACCACUAGACCAGCAAGCCUAUUCUGCCACUUAAAUGUCUCACUAAACACAAUAGCGCAGCCUCUUAACUGACCCUAACCGCAAAACUCCAAAACUUCUAACCCCAAAAAUUCGGGGUGUUACAGGACUGGACUUGAACAAGGAUUUUCACACAUCGGGCCACCUUUGCCCGGCCCGAAUUCAAUUCAAAUAAUUUUUAAAAAAAAUUAAAUUUAAUUAUAAAAUCAUAUAAAAUAUAAAUUAAAAUUAUAUUUUUUAGUAUUUUAUUAUUUUUUAUAUAGUAAAAUGGAUUUUUUGAACGGGAUGAUCCGGCUUGAAAAUAGGCCUAGACUUGAAAUUUUUGUUGGAACCAAGCCUUGGCUCAACUUAGCCCAUGGACACCUUUAAUUCAGUCUAAGCUUACUUAUUUUAAAAUAUAAUUUUUAUUUUUUAAAAAUUUUGAAUGUUGAAUUUUUUAUUGUGAUCUAAUUAACCAACACACAAACGCACCUACCAAAACUUACCAGUAACGCACGAAGAGCACCGAAAUAGCUAAAUACAGAACUUUAGCAUCAAGAUAACAGGAAUAAAAAAAAUGGCGACAUAAAAAUGAAAGAGAAAUCGGCAGAGAGCAGGAAGAAGAAAAAUUCAAGUCAGAACUUUGGAAAUUUUGGAGGAGAGAUGAAAUUUUGAAAAAAAAAAGAAGAAGAAAAUAGUUUUAAAAAUUAGAUAAUAUUAGAAUCCCCCAAUUUCCUCCCCACUAACCCCUCAAACUCAAUCGCUACAGACUUUUAAUUUCACCAAAACUCUUAUUAUGCUCACACUAGGAUUCAAGCACCAAACCUCCAUUUCACUAACCCUUUACCCCUUGAACCAGCAAGUUCAUUCUAUUAUAAAAUUACAGGCAAUUAAAUAUGAGCCUACUGAACAAAGAUAGGGCUUAGAUCCAAAAAUGUCAAGAAUUGCCAAAGAUAAGACUUGAACUUGAGACCUCUCACUCACACCCAAAACACUCAACUAGUGAAACAGAUACAAACUUGUGUUAGAUUCUACAGAAGUAAAAAUAAAUUAUUUGGGGUGUUACAUUGUUAAUAUUUUAAACAUAAUCAUAAGUUUAAGGACCUAUCUAAAAUUAGACCAAUAAAAUUUAAAAUAUAAAUAUGAUAUUGUUUCUUGGAUUUAUAGAAUAAUGGAUUGUUAUAUACAUAGUAUGAGAUGAUCUAUUGAUUCUAUAUUCUUACCGUUGAAUUUAUGAAUUUUUUUUCUUAUUUCUUUUGAGUUUGAUUAAUGAUGUACUGUAUUUAUAUGUUUAUCGAAGAAUAUUUUAUAUUUAAAAUUUAUUUAAUCUCAUUAGUUGAUACUUGUCUUUUUUGUUCUUCACGGAAAGUUGUUAUAAUUAUAAGUUCAGUAAAUAAUAAUGAAAUAUAAAUUUUAAUUAUAUCUAGUACUCAAUAAGAAGAUGGAGAAAGUUAUGUUAAUUAUAGUUAUAAAUUAUUUAUAAAUUUAAUAUAUAUAUAUAAAGAAAAUAGUUGUAUAACUAAUAAUUAUUUUUACAAUACUUUAUAUAGUUAUAUUUAAAAAAAUAUUUUUAAAAUUAAAAUACUAUUAUUUUGUUCAAUAUAUUAAUAUUUAUAUUAUUUAAUUUAUUAUUGAAUAUGAAUAAAUUUUUUUUGAAAAUUAUAUUUUUAAUUUUUAGAAAUUUUAUAUAACUUUCCAUAUAUAUAUAUUUCUGAUUUGUCAAUUUCUUUUGAGAUUUAUCUAAAUUGAUUUGAAUUUUUUUUAUUUUAAAAAAUAAAAUAAUUUUAAAAUUUCUUGGAAUUUUAUAUAAAUUUUUGGAUUUUUCAAAAAAAAAUUGAGAUUUUUUUCUUUUUUUUCGAUUUUUUAAAUUUAUUUCAGGAAAAUAUAAACUAACUUUUCUUUGCUUUGGGUAUAAUUAAUAUUAGAUAACCCACAAAUUAGAUCAAUAGGAGCUUCAUGUCCUAAUCCCAUUUAAUUACUUUUGUUGUAUCAUUAAUUUAGUCGACCUUACAUAGUAGCUCUAUGGGGCAAAUAGUUAUAAAUGUUAAAUUAGUAUUUAAAUCUUGAAGUUUUUAAUUUAAAGUUCAGACUAUUAGUAUUAUAUCAAAUAUUUAAGGGUAAAUAUAUAUUCUAAUAUCUAAGCUUGGGUCAAGGUUUAAAUUAAGUACUUAAACUUGGUUUUAUAGUUCAAAUUGAUUUAAAUAACUAAGUAUUAAUUUGAAUUAAGAAGCAAAGUUCAAGUACCUAAUUAGACUAUAAAAAAAACUUUUGCUAGUAAAUUGAACCUUAAAGUCGAGUUUAGUUAUCUAAUUGGACAAAAAAAUCUUAAAUACCAAUUUAAACCCUAAAGUCAAGUUUAGGUACCAAAGUGUAUAUUUAUCUAAUAUUUAAAUUUGAUCCACCUAAUUUAAAUUUUUUUGGUCCAAUGCAAUAAGAGAAUUAAUUAAUACUUACACACAUGAUAGAGAUAAACCCACAACAGAUACACACUACAAAAAACAUUAAAAAAUAGAAAGAUAUAUUUCCUACAAAAUUUAAAAGCAUUUAAUUUUUUAACUAACAUUAGACAAAUGGAAAUGGAAAGACUUAUUUUUAAGUUUAUGGAUGAAUCUAAUUUAUCUAAACAUUGGGUUUUUUUUUUUUUGUGACGAAAUAUGGGUGAGAGAAGGUAGUAAGCUAAGUAGGGGAGUAAUAUCUCAAACAAAUAAUUAAAAAACUCCUUUAAAUGUGGCUAUAAAUACCUGAAACCAAUCCUUCUUUCCUCAACUCAAAUCUUCAAUCUUUAGAUCAUCUCUCCAAAAAAAUCUGGCAGGUUCCAACGUUUUCAUUUUAAUAGCUUGCUUCAUUUUGUUGGGUUUUUCAAGUAUGGAGGUUAGCCUAGCAACUCGAAAUAUUCAGCACGUGUCACUAAUUGAAGUGUCACCAAUAACAUUGUCGUUAUUCCCACCAUUGCCACCAAUAAGAUCUCCGUUCUUGCCACCAAUACCGCCAAUAACAUUGCCACCAAUGACAUUGGCACCAAUAACAUUGACACCAACAGGUACACCAAUCGAGGAACCAACAGAUCCACCAACCGAGAAACCAACAGAUCCACCAACUGAGGUACCAACAUUGCCUUGAAUCCCAAAGCUACCAACAAUCCCACCAUCUUAGCCUAAGCCUAUCACUGUUCUUCCACAAGUUCCCAGCAAUAGCUUGCCUUCCAUUCCUUUCAUGUCUCCAUCUCCACCUCCAUCCAGCUAUUGAAGACAAUUUGAUUCCUAAUUAGUAUCACAUAUAUUACUGAGAAUGAACUCUGUCAUCACAUUCUCUAUGAUGUUAUUUCAUGAAAUAAGAAUGUAGUUUCUAUUUACAUUUUACAUAUAUAAUAAAGUGUGGUGUUUUUUUUAAGUUAUUAAAUUAUUAAAAUUAUAUAUCCAAAAAUAUAAACAUGAUUAAAUGUUAUACAAUCAUUUAUAAAGGUAUUAUAAUUGAUGCUAUCAACUCCAACAUAGUUAUACUUCAGGAAAAAAAAACAUAACAUAAUCACUUGCCGAUGAAUGAUGUGAUUAUUUUAGGUAUAA